AAUUUUGGUUCCAUUCAAUUAUAUAGAAUGGAUUAAAAGGGAAUCAAGUGAAAAGAUUGGUGAUUGUAGAUUGAUGAUAUGUGAAUUAAGAGUUCAAAAAAUCAAAAAUCAAAAAUCGUUAAUCUUCAUUCUUGAGCUGUUCCCGCAACUGUAAGCUAUUAUGCUUCGUGUUAAACUUCAAGUCACUGGUAUUUACUGGGAAGACCAACACGGAGACGCAAGUCAGGAGACCUGCCAUAUUCAA
rnacentral:ncRNA from 1 species